AAUGCAUCGUUGAUCUCUUAUUAUGAUCCAAAAAAACAGUAAUUUCUCAUAGAUUAUUCAAAUUUCUAGUUUGCAUAUGCUAUCAAAUUGCAAAACUAUAAGAUUUCAAAAAAACACCCCUUUAAUUUAUACCCUUAACAACUAUACCAUAAGAAAAUAAAGUGCAGCUAGCCCAUAGCAUAUUUCUGUGUCCAGGAUCGAGCAGUAGUCUCAUACUUGGCUUUAUCAGUCUUAUAGACAUGAGCAAUCUCAGGCACCAAAGGAUCAUCAGGGUUUGGAUCUGUCAGCAGUGAACAUAUCGACAAUAACACCUUUGAAACUGUAAGUGCAGGACUCCAUUGUUCCUUGAGAAUGUCAAGGCAGAUACUGCCAUUACUAUUGAUGUUCGGGUGAUAAACUUUUGUCUUGAAUGAAACCUU
rnacentral:misc_RNA from 1 species